GAGUUCCUACGGGAGGCAGCAGUGAGGAAUAUUGGUCAAUGGCCAAAGGGCUGAACCAGCCAAGCCGCGUGAAGGAAUAAGGCCCUACGGGUCGUAAACUUCUUUAGUCAGGGAACAAAGGGUGCCACGUGUGGCGCUGUGAGUGUACCUGAAGAAUAAGCAUCGGCUAACUCCGUGCCAGCAGCCGCGGUAAUACGGAGGAUGCGAGCGUUAUCCGGAUUUAUUGGGUUUAAAGGGUGCGUAGGCGGUUUGUCAAGUCAGCGGUAAAAAUUCCGGGCUCAACCCGGGCCCGCCGCUGAAACUGG
rnacentral:rRNA from 1 species